CAAAGGCUUGGUCCUGACCUUGCUAUCAACUUUAGCUAUGCUUACACAUGCAAGUAUCCGCACCCCCGUGAGAAUGCCCUAUGGUUCCUAUUUGGAAACAAGGAGCUGGUAUCAGGCCCACCUACCGUAGCCCACGACACCUUGCUCAGCCACACCCCCAAGGGAAUUCAGCAGUGAUAAAUAUUAAGCCAUGAGUGAAAACUUGACUUAGUUAAAGCUAUUAAGGGCCGGUAAAACUCGUGCCAGCCACCGCGGUUAUACGAGAGGCCCAAGCUGAUAGCCAUCGGCGUAAAGAGUGGUUAGGAAAAACAAGAACUAAAGCCGAACAGAUUUGAGGUUGUUAUACACGUACAAAUACCGGAAGCCCUAUCACGAAAGUAGCUUUACAAGAUCUGAACCCACGAAAGCCAGGGAACAAACUGGGAUUAGAUACCCCACUAUGCCUGGCCUUAAACUUUGACAGCAACCUACACCCGCUGUCCGCCCGGGAAUUACGAGCACCAGCUUAAAACCCAAAGGACUUGGCGGUGCUUUAAACCCCCCUAGAGGAGCCUGUCCUAGAACCGAUUCCCCCCGUUAAACCUCACCUUUCCUUGCCCAACCCGCCUAUAUACCACCGUCGUCAGCUUACCCUGUGAAGGCCUACUAGUAAGCGAAAUUGGUAAAGCCCAGAACGUCAGGUCGAGGUGUAGCGCAUGGAAAGGGAAGAGAUGGGCUACAUUCCCUAGCAAUAGGGUACACGGAUAAUACACUGAAACACGUAUAUUGAAGGUGGAUUUAGUAGUAAGCAGAAAAUAGAGUGUUCCGCUGAAACUGGCCCUAAAGCACGCACACACCGCCCGUCACUCUCCCCGAGCUAAUAAAAUUCAAUAAAUAAUAAACAAUACCAGCUAAGGGGAGGCAAGUCGUAACAUGGUAAGUGUACCGGAAGGUGCACUUGGAUCAAAU
rnacentral:ncRNA from 1 species